rnacentral:rRNA from 1 species
CCUACGGGUGACAGCAGUGAGGAAUAUUGGUCAAUGGCCGAGAGGCUGAACCAGCCAAGUCGCGUGAGGGAAGACGGCCCUACGGGUUGUAAACCUCUUUUGUCGGGGAGCAAAGCGAGUCACGUGUCACUCAUUGAGAGUACCCGAAGAAAAAGCAUCGGCUAACUCCGUGCCAGCAGCCGCGGUAAUACGGAGGAUGCGAGCGUUAUCCGGAUUUAUUGGGUUUAAAGGGUGCGCAGGCGGAGGUGCAAGUCAGCGGUCAAAUUGCGGGGCUCAACCCCGUACUGCCGUUGAAACUGCAUGCCUUGAGUGCGCGAGAAGUAUGCGGAAUGCGUGGUGUAGCGGUGAAAUGCAUAGAUAUCGCGCAGAACUCCGAUUGCGAAGGCAGCAUACCGGCGCGCCACUGACGCUGAUGCACGAAAGCGUGGGUAUCGAACAGGAUUAGAUACCCGGGUAGUC